rnacentral:rRNA from 1 species
UACGUAGGGACCAAGCGUUGUCCGGAAUCAUUGGGCGUAAAGAGCGUGUAGGCGGCUUGUUAAGUCUUGCGUGAAAUCUCGGGGCUCAACCCCGAGCGGUCGUGAGAAACUGGCAGGCUAGAGUGCGGGAGAGGAGAGUGGGAAUUCCUGGUGUAGCGGUGAAAUGCGCAGAUAUCAGGAAGAACACCCGUGGCUAAGGCGGCUCUCUAGUACGGUACUGACGCUGAGACGCGAAAGCGUGGGGAGCGAACAGG